AUUUAAUAACAGGGGUAGUGCAGUAACCGAAAUGGAAAUUAUUCUACAUGCAAAAGCUGUACUAAUUUUGUGUAAGUAAUUUAGAAAUAUAUGAGGUCUUGCAAAUCAAAUAAUUUGAUGUAGGAAAUUCUUGAUUUUCAUAAAAUAGUUCUGAACUGCUAUGACUGCGUGGAAACGAAGAAGUUCGGAAAUGAAAUAUAGAGAAAUUUGAAGAGUUCUCGUUGCCAGAAAUUUAAGGUGAAUGGAUUUUGUGAUAUUCAGGCAAACUGACUCCCGAGUAAGAUAAAACUUCAUAAAUUCUUUCCUAUGGUGCUUUGGUUAGAGAGUUCUCCCAUUACUGGUGAGAUCCACCUUGAAGAACGGUAAAACCUGUUGCUAUUUGAUGCGACCGGUACACAGGUGCUGAAUCUUCUUUGGAACAUGUACCCACCAAUUAUUUCUAAUUUUCCAUUCAUCUUAAAAAAGUGGCAAAUCCGAAAAAUCGGAUAUCCACCCUUAGGAACUCGCUUUUCAACAUCGUUUCAAUCAUCGAUCUGUAAUAGAACUUUAUUAAGUAAACUUAUUUAAGUAUUUUUCUACAAGUCUGUGCAUGCAUCCUCCUUUUUUUCCCAGAGCUGCCUUUAUGCUCUAAAGAAACUUGGUUACAUUAAGUUGAAUCUCGAGACAGUUCAGUAAAAGUUCGCGUGAACGGCGCAUUGCAACAAUAUCAGUGUCAAGGCCUGUAGGUAACAGUUUUUUCCAAUGCGUCCAAAGAAUUCAUUUGCGUUUUUUCACCACUGCGUUGUUUUUUCGCUCUCU